AACACUAGAGAUACCUAAUACUAACUUCUAGGCUUCCACAACACUCCUGAAUAUGCAUGUUUACAAGCAUGCACAUGCACAAACUACUGAACAUGUGUAUAUGCAUCUACACGCAAGCCACAUGCAUGCACAUACACACACACACACACAGACCAAACAAAAAACCUUGUGUGCUGCUGAAUUGAGCACUGCACAACACAUAGUUACAGGGGAAAAGGGCAGAAUGUUUGCCAUGUGUGCAAUAUCAAGCUUUUGUAAUAAAAUGUGAGGAGAAUUUUUGUGCUUUCCUUUGUGUUGUCAGAUCAACUGCUAAAAGUGUGGGUACUGAUAAUUUAAUUUUGUCCCAAAUAAGAAGUUCCACUCAGCUCUUUCUCAUGUUCAUUACCAUUCCAUCACUUUCAACAUAUGUAUAAUUUCCUAUACAUAUUCAGAAUGUUUCCUUCAUCAGAACUGUUUCUCCUUCCUCUAACAUCUAGAGAAUGUUCAUUCUUUAUAGCUCUUUGGUAAAGAUAGUUUAUUGCUUCAUAAUAUAACCUCUAUUUACCUAAUGAACGCUUGUUGCUGCACUUGUUACUUUCUGCCUUCCUCUGUAGACUGUUUUCCUUACAACUAGGAGGUUUUAAGGAAACCUGGUGUCUGCCAUAUUGCUGAUAUUUCAUGAACUCUUACUAUGUGGUGGUUUAAAACGAAUGGUACUUCCUGAUGCCAGCAUAAUUGGUUUAUGAACUUACCAGGCAAAGUAUGGUAAACUUACAUGCAUGCAGUGGGUAGAGUGCUAGUGUUCAGAUAGGGUUUCUCUAUCUAGGUAUUCUUGUACUGCCUUGGUCCCCAGGAUAGCAGUAUGGAAGUAGUAAAAUCUUUUAAGAGAUGGGGCCCAGUGGGAGGUGACCAGGUCUUAAGAGGGAUUGAUGCCUUUGUCAUGAGUGUAUAUGCUUCCUCUCACAGGGAGCUGACAAGAAAGCAGGUACUCCUAUUUCUUUAUGGUGCUGCUGGUCAAUCUUGAAUGUUCUUCCACCAAUUUUAUGCUAUCUACUGUGAUACUCCCUAGAAGCAAGUAAAGGCCAAUCAUACUCUUGAGUUUCCUUAAAUGUGAUCUAAAUAAAACUUUUUUAUAAAAU
rnacentral:lncRNA from 1 species